CCCACCUUCUCAGCCUUCCUCUCCCAUUCCUUCGAUUCCACCCGCUUCUCCUCCGCCGCCCUAUCCGCCGGCUCCGCUGCCUCCACCGCCGAGAAGCUCCAGGAUGGCAUCCGCCUCCUCGAAAAGCAGCUUCGCUCCGAAGUCCUCCACCGCCACUCUGACCUCCUCAACCAGCUCUCCUCCCUCAAGGACGCCGAUUCCGCCCUCUCCACCCUCCGCGCCGCCGUCUCCUCGCUCCAGUCUUCCGUUCGCCGUGUCCGCUCUGAGAUUGCCGACCCUCACCGCCAAAUCAAGUCAAAAACCAUCCAGCUCUCCAACCUUCACCGCACCACCGACCUCCUCCAGCACUCCAUUCGCGCAAUUCGAUUGUCGAAGAAAUUGCGAGAUCUCGCCAGUGCUGAUCCCGACAAGCUCGAUCUCGCCAAGGCCGCGCAACUGCAUUGCGAGAUCUUGAGCCUGUGCAGCGAAAACGACCUCGCCGGCAUCGAUAUAAUCAAU
rnacentral:lncRNA from 1 species